rnacentral:rRNA from 1 species
UACGGAGGGUGCAAGCGUUGUCCGGAUUUAUUGGGUUUAAAGGGAGCGUAGGUGGUCUUAUAAGUCAGUGGUGAAAUCUCUGGGCUUAACCCAGAAAUUGCCAUUGAUACUGUAGGACUUGAGUAUAGUUGCCGUUGGCGGAAUAUGACAUGUAGUGGUGAAAUACAUAGAGAUGUCAUAGAACACCGAUUGCGAAGGCAGCUAACGAAACUAUAACUGACACUGAGGCUCGAAAGUGUGGGGAUCAAACAGG